GGCACGUUACAUCAUCUGCGUCCCAAGUCCCACUUCGGACGCAGAGAAUUAGGGCAAAAUUGGCUUCUUCCUCCUUAAAAUAACAACACAUCGCGGAUAGGGCAAAAUCGGCUUCCAUCGCAGAGAAUCCCAUUACCACCGCACCAUUCAGAUCGCUCGUCGUCCACAGCCUCCGCCUCCCGUCGCCACGGUCGCUCGUCUUCUUCUCCCACAGCGCCGCCUUCAGCUCCAUCUUCCCUCAUAGAGCCGCUGCCUCCACCCCUAGCCAUUAGCUGCAUUGCCGCCGGUCUACAGCCCUCUGUCGAUCUGCAGCUUCGUCGUUUCGGAGCAGUAGUCGAGACCAACGACGCCUCCCCUACCGAUCUGCUUCGUCGAGAUCUCCACCACCGUGACGCAACCACCGGCUCCCCUGCGAUGCCGACGCUACCACCGCCGUUCGCCGUUCGCACAUGGACUAUUACUUGGCUUGAUUCUGUCUCUAACCUUCCUAUAAAGGUAAUCUAUCUUAAUGUCUUCUAUUCUCACAAACAAGAAUACAAGAUAAAACUUUAGCCUUGAGAUGAUGGUUUUGAAUGAAUCAAAAUGAACAGCAGUCUCUGGACGGGGUAAGCAAAGUGGAAUUUAAUAAAGCUGUGGUUAAUUGGCUUCCUCUAUUUUGUCUUUGUUUAUUUAUGGGCAACUGGGCAAGAUAGAACAAAUCAAGGAUGUAAUUGUCAAAUUUACUUAAGUGACUACUUAUCAUUCACUUGUUCUCAUAUUAUAGUUUGAUGUCAUAAGCAUUACUAGUUUGCUAACAAAUAUAAUACUCAAUUUUUAAUUACUUGGUGACUUCGUUUAACAAUGAUCUAUAGGUCUGUUGAUCUCAUGGUCUUAACACCUUUGUGAUUCUUACCAUUUUGCUUCUGCUUCAUCUCUUGCUAUUGGUUGUUUAGCUGUAAUAUUGCACAAUUUAUUUAACUGUUUUUAAUUUAAACUUCAAAUGACAUUGAACUGAUGAAGCACAUAUAUCUGUUUCUUAGUUUCAAGUUGAAGAACCAAACACUGAUCAGAGAGGGAAUGUAAGGAUUUAUACUACUGCCUUUUAGACUCAAUCACUCAAAAGAGGGAAUAAAACUAGAAGUUUUUAGUGAUUGUUUCAUUCUGGUAUUUUAAUAGUUUUCUGAUGUAUUUAGUUUUCUGAUUUCUGAAAUUAUGUAAGGCUAGAGUAUCAUUUGUCUUGAUUACAGUGAUUCUAUAUUUUGAUUGAAUUAUAUUCUAAGAUAGUAUAUAUGUGCAUUUCUCAUGGCUUAAUGACGUAAUAUAUUUUAUAAUUUUUACUUGCUUGUUAUUUGAAAGGUUGAAACUCUGUCGUUAUGCCUUAUAUUUCAAAAGGAAGGUUUUUCUAUGCUUACCUGUAAUGGUCCAGUGCUCUGUAUGAAGUAUGUGAAAAGACAUGUAUGGUAUUAUGUAUUGUGCUAAAGUCGCUAGAAAUAUAAGUUCUCAUGUUUUGAACAUUUCCCAUGGGGUGUCAUGUGAAUUUCCUACUUUACAUUACCAAGUAACUUUGGGUUUUCAUUAUCUUGUAUCCUCAGACUACAGUGAAAUGUCACUUGCAUACAGGCCUUCACAUGCAGAUGCAACUUAUGAAUUCCAACAAAGAAAAGCACGGACUAAAGCUGAUGGAAAGAAAACCAACAGUGUCAAAACGUUGAGAUAUGGACAUUUAAUUAUAAUGACGGAUUAGGAUCAUGAUGGUUCUCACAUCAAUGGGCUUCUAAUCAAUUUCAUUCACACAUUCUGGCCAUCAUUGCUGAACGUUCCAUCAUUCUUAGUGGAGUUCAUCACACCUAUUGUCAAGGUCAUUUGUUGGGUCUUGGGAGAAUAUGGAACUGCUGAUGGGAAGUAUUAUGCUGCCUAUAUAACUGGGAAGGUAUUUUAUGUUGGGCAAACUAUUGAAAGCAAAAUAUACAAAAUCUUUUGAUGUAGGCUGUGAUGCACUUCCUUUGAUAAAUGUCGAUUCUCUAAAUGAUGCAGGCUGUGAUGCACUUGCUUGUACGGGCAAAGGCAUUCAUGAUCCAACUCAAACUCUGGAAGAGCUUUACUCACUAUUAUUGAUAACUGGGCAUGUUUUAGCAUAAUAAUUUUUUAAAUAUUUAUUUUUUUGAAUUUUUGUAUAAUUUUUGUGGAUUAUCCAUUGAGGUUUUUGUAAUGUGUAAUGACUAUCAAUUUUGUACAGGGAAAAAAAAUUGUAUUUAUUAUUAUUAUCAA